rnacentral:lncRNA from 1 species
CAUAUUUUGUUGACUAAAUCUGUGAAUAUUGUAUUUGUGGCAAGUAAGGUUUAUGAUUAGCAAGAGAAGGUGGAGUCCAGCAUGAGUGAGAGAUCGUGUGUGGAGAGGACGCAGUUCUCGAACAGGGCGCUGCAGGCCUUCGAGUCUUUCUUGGCGAACUUGGAGCCGAAGCUGAUGGCCAGAUCGUAGACGCCUCGGGAACUCUUGAGAUUGUCCUUGUUCUGGAAAGCAGUCUUGAAGGUGGACAUAGCUGGAGUCAGCUGAUCGGCGGACAUAGCCUCGAUUUCGCACAAGAGCUUAGCAACGCAACCAGCUGAAUCCAUCUGCUGAGCCACGGCAAUCU